rnacentral:tRNA from 1 species
GUCCUUAUCGUCUAAUGGUUAGGACAUUGCCCUUUCACGGCAAUAAUGCCGGUUCAAAUCCGACUAAGGAUA